rnacentral:lncRNA from 1 species
GGGCCGAGGUGGGGUCGGGGGGCCCGAAUUGAGAGAGUCCCAGGCUGUCCUUUGCAGGAGCAGCAGGCGUCACGCAGCAGACCGGGUGCAUCGCUGUGCGCGUGCGCUGGCCCGAGAGCCCCAACAAGGUAGGUGCUCGGGGCGGCGAGGUCCGCGUGCAGCGAGAGCUCUGUGACCCGACUUGGGUCCGAAGAGAAAGGCGCAUGGCCUGUCUGUGCCUGUUGCCUAAUUUGGCUGCAGAUCUAGAGGCAGAAGGACCGAGGGGCGAGUGGGGGCUGCAGCGGCUCUGCACCCCCACCCCCCACCCCUGUCCACACCCCACCUCCACCCCCUACCUCCUUGAUGCCAGAGGAGGUGCUGCUGGGAUGGAAACAUGCUUUGCUUUUUCAGGGGAGGUGGGCAGCUCUGCGCACCUGCACGGGGAGUUGGGGGUCCCCAGCCCUGGCUGCAGUCAGGACGCGGGGAUCUUUGGAGAGCCUUGCUGCUGGGCCCGCCCUCUGCGGGUUGUCUGUGUGCCCGGGUCCCUCCGUGUGCGGCCUCCUGGGGGAAUCUGAAGUGCCCCCUGGUGGAGACCGAUGGCUGACCCACAGGCAGGAGGGUCAGGGCCCUGGGUUUCUCCGGCCCCCUUGGGCUGGGGACAAUGCUAAGGGGAGCAGUGGGCGCACUUAGCCUGAAAUCAGGGGCCAGAGCCCCUCUGGGCUGCGCCAACCCUCCUGCAUUUCUAGUCUUCAGGGCAUCCGCCCGGCUGGGUCUCUCUCUCCCCCGCCCCCAUCUCCCUCCCUCCUUUUCCCGCAUCCAGACUCUGGCCUGGCCCACCUGUGUCCCUGGGCCCCCAGGUCUCUGCAGCCCAGCUUGGCCUCCUCCUGGCUUUGGGCCUUUCGCCUGUGCUCCUGCCAGGGCCGCUGCGCACCGAUCUCGGAGGCUGUUGGUGGGGCUGUUCCCUGAGUGGGGUUGACCUCCUCAGGGCUCGGCCAUGCUCCACUGCUGCUUUCUGGGGCACGAGCCUCCUGGCACUGACGGUUCUGGUUCUGGUGCUCAUCGCCUGGGCGCUGGCCUGCGUGCUUUGUUUGGGUUGCCCCUUCUGAGCCCCCUUGCCGGUCCCAUGAGGUGAGCUCCGGUGUCUCAGUGUCACUUCCUGAUGGGUUCCCACCUGAAGCGCUGCGCCAGCUCAGGAGACGCCCUGCCCAAGACCCCUCAGCGGCUCUUCACCCCCGAAAGGACAACGUGCAGAAUUCAUCAGCCCCACCUGGCUCGCCCGUGGCCUGCCCGCCUCUCUAACCCGAGUUCCAGCUCUGACCCGCUGUCCACCUGUAGCGUGUGCCCGGAAGCCUCUGCCACGCAGUGUCUGCAUCCUGGGCUCCUUGUUGACACGCUCGAGUCCUGCUCGCCUUGCUCAAGGCCUGGCCCAAACGCCGGUUUUAACAACAGCACGACAGGCAUCUAGGCAGCGCCUUCCGCAUCCCGCGGCCGAUGCUGGCAUCCCGUACGUGCGGGACCGUGGCUCCUCUCUAAGGGUCACCCUCUGGUUUUUCUCAUCCUGCCGAUGAAGAACCCCAAGCUUCGAGGGUUCAUUUUGCAAGAGGAGAGAGGGGCCCGAACUCACACCCUGGUCCUUCCUGGUCCCGUGGCUGUGCCGAGCUGCCGUGACAAGUGCCCGCAGCAUUCCCGCCAUGCCUCUGGUAAUUCUCUCUGUUUCCUCUAUGCCUUCAUUUCUCGUCUUAGCUUCUGACAUGUAUCACUUACUCUCGUCUUACUACUCAGAAUCUCCGGGCGCAACCCCCUGGGGCAGGAAGGGGACUCCCUGCAGCACUGGAAGCCUGUCUUGUACCCGUCAAGCAGAGGAGUCAAUGAACUAAGUUAACCGUGGGUUGUUUCCAUGGCUGGUGGUGCUGGGCCACCUAACAUGCCAAGCAGGCCAUGCAGAGCCUGGGAGAGCAUGCCCACGGCGUCACGCUGCAGGACUGCUGGACCUCGCUGGUGUGAGCACAGCCCACGGUGUGGACCACAGUCCCGGGGUUCCUGGACCUCGCUGGUGGCAGCAGCCCGGAACUGUGGAGUCUGCAGGCACAGAGAGAAACCACCAAUGCCAGGCCUCCGUUUUCUGGAGGCUACAGGCAUUGUCCGGUGAGUGUGGGUUCUUCCCCGCGUUGCUGGUUCCUCUGUGCUUUUGAUGAAGCGUGGCGUUUCCCCUGCCCUGCCGUGUGGGUAGACCCUGGUGUUGACGAGAAGAGGUGAAAGGUACAGAGCCUGCAUUCUGGGGGGGUUGCUCUGCCUCCGAGGAAUCGAUGCGGCCUGUGUCUUCAGGAAGGAGUCAGCUCCCGUGUGGUCGGACAGUAGCCCCAGCUGGAAUUGCCCGGCGCACGUGCGCUGGCCCCUCGAGGGGACGUCCCCGUGCGGGACAGGUGGCCUUUUCCAUGUGCCAAGAUGCUCUGUGAGGGGGUGGCGGUCAGAUGUCUUUCCACACGAUGGUCUGUUAUUUGCAUGGAUUAGAUUUUGCUUUUCUUUGAGGGAACGUCCCUGGUGAUCUGCUUCCCUCUCGGAGCGAAGCAAUCAUUAAAAACACGGAAGCAAGCCAGCUCCCUUCGGCGGGGUUCCUUUGGCCCCCAGGAUGCAGGAUCGAUUUGGCAGCAGCCUCGCUCUGUCGCACCUCGCGGAGGGUCGGGGUUCCUGAGAGCCUUCGAUCCACACGCGUGUCUCAGCGCCGGGCCCGCGGUGCGCAGGCAGCGCGGGGAGGCGGGGGCUCUGCCCGCUGGAGCCUCCCUGUGGGGUCACAGCCUGUUACACUUGAGCUGUCGGUACCAUCGUCCGAUAAUAGCGCCGUCCAUCAACUUUUAUGUUUCGGUGUUUUGUUUCAGAACCUUCAGUUUCAAGAAGGUCGUAGAAUUUCUUCAUAGAGAAGAAAGGCCUCAGGACACACGUGAGCGGAACCUCGGUUCACCAGCGAUAUCUUAAAAGCCGUAACUUUUAGGGAAAGAAGAAAAAUCAUGACUCCCUUCCUCUCUUUAUUUCUAAAUAUUUUCAGGGGAUGUCUUGCAUCCAGUAUAAAUCUAUCACUUCUUUCUAUUUGUCUAACUGCAAAAAAGAGUCAAGAGAGUUCCCAUUGUGGUGCAAUGGAAACGAAUCCCACUAGGAACCAUGAGGUUGCAGGUUCAAUCCCUGGCCUCACUCAGUGGGUUAAGGAUCCGACACUGCCCUGAGCUGUGGUGUAGCUUGCAGAGGCAGCUCGGGUCUGGUGUUGCCGCGGCUGCGGUGUAGACCAGUAGCUGCAGCUCCGACUCGGCCCCUAGCCUGGGAACCUCCAUAUGCCGUGAGUGCAGCC